rnacentral:rRNA from 1 species
UACAGAGGGGGCAAGCGUUAUUCGGAAUUAUUGGGCGUAAAGGGCGCGUAGGCGGCGAUUCAAGUGACGGGUGAAAUCCCUCGGCUUAACCGAGGAACUGCCUGUCAGACUGGAUUGCUUGAGUCCGGGAGAGGCGAGUGGAAUUCCCAGUGUAGCGGUGAAAUGCGUAGAUAUUGGGAGGAACACCAGUGGCGAAGGCGGCUCGCUGGACCGGAACUGACGCUGAGGCGCGAAAGCGUGGGUAGCAAACAGG